CCUACGGGUGGCAGCAGUGGGGAAUAUUGGACAAUGGGCGAAAGCCUGAUCCAGCCAUGCCGCGUGUGUGAAGAAGGCCUUCGGGUUGUAAAGCACUUUCAGUGGGGAAGAAAGCCUUGGGGCUAAUACCCUCGAGGAAGGACAUCACCCACAGAAGAAGCACCGGCUAACUCCGUGCCAGCAGCCGCGGUAAUACGGAGGGUGCGAGCGUUAAUCGGAAUUACUGGGCGUAAAGCGCGCGUAGGCGGUCUGAUAAGCCGGUUGUGAAAGCCCCGGGCUCAACCUGGGAACGGCAUCCGGAACUGUCAGGCUAGAGUGCAGGAGAGGAAGGUAGAAUUCCCGGUGUAGCGGUGAAAUGCGUAGAGAUCGGGGGGAAUACCAGUGGCGAAGGCGGCCUUCUGGACUGACACUGACGCUGAGGUGCGAAAGCGUGGGUAGCAAACAGGAUUAGAUACCCUAGUAGUC
rnacentral:rRNA from 1 species